rnacentral:rRNA from 1 species
AUGGCGAGGAGAUCUAGCAGGACGACAAAAUUGCAGACUGUUCUCACCGACCUCCCUGAUGCACUCAUCGUCGAGAUCCUGUCACGGCUGCCACUUAAGUCGCUGUGCUGCUGCAAGUGUGUCGACACGCACUGGUACUGCCUCAUCUCCCAUCCCGAACACCUCAAGAAGCUCCCACAGACCCUCUCCGGCUUCUUCUUUGACACUGAAGACAUAGGGCGCUGUCCCAAAGUAGCUCGGCACUUUGCCAAUAUCGGUGAACCACCUCAGAUUGAUCCCAGUUUCCCCUUCUUGCCGCCUGAGUUUGAGCUUGUCAGGCUGGAAGACUGUUGUGAUGGCCUUCUCCUGUGCUGCUCUUCUCAGCAUCCAUUCCGCCGUUUAGUUUGCAAUCCUGCUACAGAGAGAUGGGUCGUGUUACCCGCGUUGCCAGCUAACUCCAGUUGUGUAGCUCAGGAAGACACCUUUCAUUUGGUUUUCGACCGUGAUGUUUCCUCCCAUUUCCAUGUGUUUCAGAUUGUGUUGAAAGAUUGGCGGCGGGUGGCGGGCAUAAAUAUAUACUCCUCGGGAACUGGGUCAUGGAACUUCAUGGAAAGUGGGUGGGACUCUGAUUCCACAAUUUGUGGCAGAUGUGUGUUUCAUCGAGGGAUGCUGCAUUUUGUCAGCGCUCAGUCUACAGUAGUGUCGGUAGAUGUGGAGGGGAAGAAAUGGAGGGCAAUUUCAGUGCCAGAAGGAGUGGAAAGGUCUGAGCUUGGUUUUCUUGCUCGGUCCCAAGGGCACUUGCAUUACAUGGUGCACACAGGGAUUCGUCAAGAAGUUUCCAUCUGGUGUCUUGAGAAGUAUGAUUCGGAUGAAUGGACGCUGAAGCACCGUGUGAGCAAUAACAAGUUGCUGAACGCGAGAGGUAAAGUCUACUACUAUGAAUACUAUAUCAUCUCGUGUCAUCCAGAUCGUAGUUUGAUUUGCUACGCUAAUCAUCGAGACAAGACAUUGAUGGCGUAUGACACUGAUCGCGAGGAGGCUCGCGUUCUCUGCACUUUUGGGCGAGGCGAUUUGAUAUCAUGUUUUCCCUAUGUUCCGCUGUUCAGCGAUUCGAGUGUUCCCCUGAGUAGCUAG